UUUUGGCAAUGACGAUUAGUUUACAGCUUUAAACGCCAGUUCUGCUUCAGAAAAUUCUUGAUUGAUAGAGCUGUUGUAUAGUCUGAGCCUCUA